GUGCUCACUUUGGCGGCACAUAUACUAAAAUUGGAACGAUAUAGAGAAGAUGAGCAUGGCCCCUGCACAAAAUAAAGACAACAAGAUGCUCAAAUUAUUAAU
ensembl:snRNA U6 U6 spliceosomal RNA